rnacentral:rRNA from 1 species
ARAACGACUCUCGGCAACGGAUAUCUCGGCUCUCGCAUCGAUGAAGAACGUAGCGAAAUGCGAUACUUGGUGUGAAUUGCAGAAUCCCGUGAACCAUCGAGUCUUUGAACGCAAGUUGCGCCCGAAGCCGUUCGGCCGAGGGCACGCCUGCCUGGGCGUCAC